AUGCGACUAGCUCACUGGGUAGAGCACAGGACUGUUAAUCCUGGUGUCGAAGGUUCGAGUCCUUCGUCGCUGU
rfam:Rhizobiales bacterium 65-9 SCNpilot_cont_300_bf_scaffold_265, whole genome shotgun sequence.